AGCGUACACGGUGGAUGCCCUGGCAGUCAGAGGCGAUGAAGGACGUGCUAAUCUGCGAUAAGCGUCGGUAAGGUGAUAUGAACCGUUAUAACCGGCGAUUUCCGAAUGGGGAAACCCAGUGUGAUUCGUCACACUAUCAUUAACUGAAUCCAUAGGUUAAUGAGGCGAACCGGGGGAACUGAAACAUCUAAGUACCCCGAGGAAAAGAAAUCAACCGAGAUUCCCCCAGUAGCGGCGAGCGAACGGGGAGCAGCCCAGAGCCUGAAUCAGUGUGUGUGUUAGUGGAAGCGUCUGGAAAGGCGUGCGAUACAGGGUGACAGCCCCGUACACAAAAAUGCACAUAUUGUGAGCUCGAUGAGUAGGGCGGGACACGUGGUAUCCUGUCUGAAUAUGGGGGGACCAUCCUCCAAGGCUAAAUACUCCUGACUGACCGAUAGUGAACCAGUACCGUGAGGGAAAGGCGAAAAGAACCCCGGCGAGGGGAGUGAAAAAGAACCUGAAACCGUGUACGUACAAGCAGUGGGAGCACGCUUAGGCGUGUGACUGCGUACCUUUUGUAUAAUGGGUCAGCGACUUAUAUUCUGUAGCAAGGUUAACCGAAUAGGGGAGCCGAAGGGAAACCGAGUCUUAACUGGGCGUUAAGUUGCAGGGUAUAGACCCGAAACCCGGUGAUCUAGCCAUGGGCAGGUUGAAGGUUGGGUAACACUAACUGGAGGACCGAACCGACUAAUGUUGAAAAAUUAGCGGAUGACUUGUGGCUGGGGGUGAAAGGCCAAUCAAACCGGGAGAUAGCUGGUUCUCCCCGAAAGCUAUUUAGGUAGCGCCUCGUGAAUUCAUCUCCGGGGGUAGAGCACUGUUUCGGCAAGGGGGUCAUCCCGACUUACCAACCCGAUGCAAACUGCGAAUACCGGAGAAUGUUAUCACGGGAGACACACGGCGGGUGCUAACGUCCGUCGUGAAGAGGGAAACAACCCAGACCGCCAGCUAAGGUCCCAAAGUCAUGGUUAAGUGGGAAACGAUGUGGGAAGGCCCAGACAGCCAGGAUGUUGGCUUAGAAGCAGCCAUCAUUUAAAGAAAGCGUAAUAGCUCACUGGUCGAGUCGGCCUGCGCGGAAGAUGUAACGGGGCUAAACCAUGCACCGAAGCUGCGGCAGCGACGCUUAUGCGUUGUUGGGUAGGGGAGCGUUCUGUAAGCCUGUGAAGGUGUACUGUGAGGUAUGCUGGAGGUAUCAGAAGUGCGAAUGCUGACAUAAGUAACGAUAAAGCGGGUGAAAAGCCCGCUCGCCGGAAGACCAAGGGUUCCUGUCCAACGUUAAUCGGGGCAGGGUGAGUCGACCCCUAAGGCGAGGCCGAAAGGCGUAGUCGAUGGGAAACAGGUUAAUAUUCCUGUACUUGGUGUUACUGCGAAGGGGGGACGGAGAAGGCUAUGUUGGCCGGGCGACGGUUGUCCCGGUUUAAGCGUGUAGGCUGGUUUUCCAGGCAAAUCCGGAAAAUCAAGGCUGAGGCGUGAUGACGAGGCACUACGGUGCUGAAGCAACAAAUGCCCUGCUUCCAGGAAAAGCCUCUAAGCAUCAGGUAACAUCAAAUCGUACCCCAAACCGACACAGGUGGUCAGGUAGAGAAUACCAAGGCGCUUGAGAGAACUCGGGUGAAGGAACUAGGCAAAAUGGUGCCGUAACUUCGGGAGAAGGCACGCUGAUAUGUAGGUGAAGUCCCUCGCGGAUGGAGCUGAAAUCAGUCGAAGAUACCAGCUGGCUGCAACUGUUUAUUAAAAACACAGCACUGUGCAAACACGAAAGUGGACGUAUACGGUGUGACGCCUGCCCGGUGCCGGAAGGUUAAUUGAUGGGGUCAGCGCAAGCGAAGCUCUUGAUCGAAGCCCCGGUAAACGGCGGCCGUAACUAUAACGGUCCUAAGGUAGCGAAAUUCCUUGUCGGGUAAGUUCCGACCUGCACGAAUGGCGUAAUGAUGGCCAGGCUGUCUCCACCCGAGACUCAGUGAAAUUGAACUCGCUGUGAAGAUGCAGUGUACCCGCGGCAAGACGGAAAGACCCCGUGAACCUUUACUAUAGCUUGACACUGAACAUUGAGCCUUGAUGUGUAGGAUAGGUGGGAGGCUUUGAAGUGUGGACGCCAGUCUGCAUGGAGCCGACCUUGAAAUACCACCCUUUAAUGUUUGAUGUUCUAACGUGGACCCGUAAUCCGGGUUGCGGACAGUGUCUGGUGGGUAGUUUGACUGGGGCGGUCUCCUCCUAAAGAGUAACGGAGGAGCACGAAGGUUGGCUAAUCCUGGUCGGACAUCAGGAGGUUAGUGCAAUGGCAUAAGCCAGCUUGACUGCGAGCGUGACGGCGCGAGCAGGUGCGAAAGCAGGUCAUAGUGAUCCGGUGGUUCUGAAUGGAAGGGCCAUCGCUCAACGGAUAAAAGGUACUCCGGGGAUAACAGGCUGAUACCGCCCAAGAGUUCAUAUCGACGGCGGUGUUUGGCACCUCGAUGUCGGCUCAUCACAUCCUGGGGCUGAAGUAGGUCCCAAGGGUAUGGCUGUUCGCCAUUUAAAGUGGUACGCGAGCUGGGUUUAGAACGUCGUGAGACAGUUCGGUCCCUAUCUGCCGUGGGCGCUGGAGAACUGAGGGGGGCUGCUCCUAGUACGAGAGGACCGGAGUGGACGCAUCACUGGUGUUCGGGUUGUCAUGCCAAUGGCACUGCCCGGUAGCUAAAUGCGGAAGAGAUAAGUGCU
rnacentral:rRNA from 1 species